ACCAUAGCGAACUCAUCCAGUCUCGUUGCUUCGGCGGGCGGACCCCAGGGGGGGUGCCGCGGCCCCGAACCGGGCCGGCCUCCGGGCCGCCGGGGAGAGGUGCCCGCCGGAGGUAUACACUAAAACACUUCUAUAACACUGAGUCAUCUCUGAGUAAAACAAGCAAACAAUCAAAACUUUCAACAACGGAUCUCUUGGUUCUGGCAUCGAUGAAGAACGCAGCGAAAUGCGAUAAGUAAUGUGAAUUGCAGAAUUCAGUGAAUCAUCGAAUCUUUGAACGCACAUUGCGCCCGCUAGUAUUCUAGCGGGCAUGCCUGUCCGAGCGUCAUUUCAACCCCUCAAGCCCUGCUUGGCGCUGGGGCCCUACGGCUGCCGUAGGCCCUGAAAUGAAGUGGCGGGCCCGCCGCGACUCCGAGCGUAGUAGGAUACUAUCUCGCUAUGGAGGCCCGCGGCGGCGCUCCGGCCGUUAAAGAACCCCCUCUUUAACCAAGGUUGACCUCGGAUCAGGUAGGAAUACCCGCUGAACUUA
rnacentral:rRNA from 1 species